rnacentral:sRNA from 2 species
CUCUCGUCCAAAUUCGGAUAUUUGCGCAAAGCGUAGAAAUCCAACCAAAAAUUGCGGGCCUCUGUAUGAUCCGGCAGAUGCAUGCGUAGUAAAUCUUUCCAUUCUUUGUCCUCUUGCCCUAGACCAAUUCCUGCGCAAGUAAACUCCCACCAAACAGGAAAGUAGCCCGAAGAUUCCCAGUCCAGAAUACCUGCCAAGUUACCAUUAUCCACGAUAAUAUUGACAUUGGUAAGGUCGGCGUGGGAGAAUGUAUAGGGAGCAGCACUUGGCAUACGUCGACGUAGUUCCAAGCGAAUUUCCUCUGGCACAUUUGACAAGGCCAACGACAUCUCAGCCCACAGCUCAUCAUCUGACGAAAGGGGCCCAUGCCCAAUGCCGUAGCCAUUCAGAAAUAGAAACGCCGAGUAUAGUGGUUGUCCGCCUAUGCUUUCCAUUCGGUUCGAGUGAAGCCCGCGAAGCUGCAUCAAAUAGUCAGCGGUCUGCUUUGCGACGCGUUCUUUGUCCGCUGCGGACAUGGUGGGCCAGAUUUCACUCAAGGGUUGUCCUUGAAUCCGUCUGGUGAGCAGGAAAUAUGUCCCGUCGACUUCCUGCCACUCCUCAACGACUUUGGGUAUAGGUAUUGAAGUUCUUUCAGCCAAAAAACGAAUGUUGAGGGAUUCGAAGUUGGGUGGCUCAAUGGACCGUUCUUUCAGAACCAGGUUUGAUCCCAAAGACCAUGCUCCUCGAUUACUGACACCGUAGAAAAUUUUCACAUGGCUAUUAUAGCGACACCCCGCUUGGCGUGUUUCUGACCAGCUACAUGCCGAGCAGAUGUUUUCGGAGGCCAUCUGGGAAAUAGAGGGCAGAAGUUGUCUUGGAGCAAGUAGUAGGAUAGAGAAAUAAGAUGGAUAUAUCCUUGGAGGAGUCUGGGGCUCUUAUUUAUACGCUGGCACCGAAGUUGAACUAACCAACACACGUUUUUUCAACCCUUUCCCUCACACCGCCGAAUUGAACCACUGAUGGUACUCUUGGGAGGGAUACUGGUUGCGGGCGGGUUCACGGACACGAUCUUGUACGCAUCCGUCGCCAACCUCAAAAAGUUGACCAAUCAAAUCAUAUGGCUCCAGUUAUAACAAUCCAGUGGUGACUAUUGAUGAUAUGAAGAUCUAGUUGGCGAUAUUUAUCGAUGUGCUAUCUUUGCUGAUAUGAAUAUGUAGUGAUAUACAGAUUGCUCACUGCCUCCACAUCAGCCAUACGAAAAUAGAAAAUUAUAUAUUUUUGUACGGCACAUUGGGCAGACGGGCAGCCAGACAGCCAGACAUACAGCAAUAUAGAUAGAUGGAUAGAUAGACAGAUAGAUGGUAUGAAAAUAGUAUAUUUCUCGAUAUUCAUAUCCUUGAUAGAUACCAUCGGUGGUUAUAGUUAAAAGUUCUAUGAUUAUGAGACAAUCAAUUUUUACUGAUGUGGGUGUAUAUGUGGCAUCAUGAAAUCCAUGUAAAAUGCAGGCAGAGGCACUCAUUUCUCGGGGUCAAUUUUCACGGGUCCUUUCACCUAUAUUCUAGCUGUAACACUACAAGUACAUGGGUUUUUAUAUCUGACAAGGGAGAAAUAGGAAAUAGCAAAACCAAAAGAAAAAAAUAAAGCCAUGAAACGAGGAGAUGGACAUGAAAGGGGAAACAAAAAAUAUUGAGGACAAAAGGAAAAGGGGGAAAGGGUAACACAGAAAAGAAGAGUAGAAAGGAGAUUUCAUCUGAGGCACGGCACCGGAACAAAAGAAGGGUAGGAAGAAGGGGUUUGGAAAGGGAAUGCAAACAUGGAUUGGAAAAAUGCAAGUUGAAUGGCGAUGUCGCAUCUGACAUAGGUGAGAAGAGCGCAUUCGGGGUUUAUUUUAUGUUAUUUUAUUAUAAUACCCCCGGUUGUAUCAAAAGGAGGAAGGGAGGAAGGAAUUAAUUAUCCAAGGGCAUUGGAGGACAAAACAAUAGAUAUGGUAGUCUGCAGCCCCCACAGACGGCAUCCUCCAUUCUGAUACCCAGAGCCGUUGGGAUGAAAAGGGAAGGGAGAAACAAAACAUCCAGAGAGUCGGGAUAAACGAAACAGUCACAAUUUUUGUUCAUGGAAGCUAAAGCGACAACCAUUUUGGUUUUUGUUAUGGCAGGCUUCGCGAUCUGUCUUUCGUUCGUUUAUGUAUGUCAAAAUAUGGUACGGGUAUUAUUGCCCCUUUUCAUCCCGCACCGUCCAUUCGUCAAUAUAUGAGCGUUGAGGAAGCGUCAGGUCGUCGUUGCAUAUGCUGUAGACUUCUUUUCUUAAAGGGAAGCAGGAGUCGAUCUGUGCAGAGAGAUGUCAUAUAUAUCAUCUCUUUCACCACAGUGCUUGCUUUUUCUCGUUCUUUCGAGCGUGUUAAGUUUACGUCGCAGUUACUUCUCCUCGGAAAAGGGCGUUUUCAUUUCGUUCGUCGAAUGUCAAAGAGAAAAAUAUUCCAC